CGUAGGGUGCAAGCGUUAAUCGGAAUUACUGGGCGUAAAGCGUGCGCAGGCGGUUAUGCAAGACAGAGGUGAAAUCCCCGGGCUCAACCUGGGAACUGCCUUUGUGACUGCAUAGCUAGAGUACGGUAGAGGGGGAUGGAAUUCCGCGUGUAGCAGUGAAAUGCGUAGAUAUGCGGAGGAACACCGAUGGCGAAGGCAAUCCCCUGGACCUGUACUGACGCUCAUGCACAAAAGCGUGGGGAGCAAACAGGAUUAGAUACCCUGGUAGUCCACGCCCUAAACGAUGUCAACUGGUUGUUGGGAGGGUUUCUUCUCAGUAACGUAGCUAACGCGUGAAGUUGACCGCCUGGGGAGUACGGCCGCAAGGUUG
rnacentral:rRNA from 1 species